rnacentral:rRNA from 1 species
UGUACUGUGAAACUGCGAAUGGCUCAUUAAAUCAGUUAUCGUUUAUUUGAUAGUACCUUACUACAUGGAUACCUGUGGUAAUUCUAGAGCUAAUACAUGCUAAAAACCCCGACUUCAGGAAGGGGUGUAUUUAUUAGAUAAAAAACCAACGCCCUUCGGGGCUCCUUGGUGAAUCAUAAUAACUUAACGAAUCGCAUGGCCUUGCGCCGGCGAUGGUUCAUUCAAAUUUCUGCCCUAUCAACUUUCGAUGGUAGGAUAGUGGCCUACCAUGGUGGCAACGGGUAACGGGGAAUUAGGGUUCGAUUCCGGAGAGGGAGCCUGAGAAACGGCUACCACAUCCAAGGAAGGCAGCAGGCGCGCAAAUUACCCAAUCCCGAUACGGGGAGGUAGUGACAAUAAAUACUGAUACGGGGCUCUUUUGGGUCUCGUAAUUGGAAUGAGAACAAUUUAAAUCCCUUAACGAGGAACAAUUGGAGGGCAAGUCUGGUGCCAGCAGCCGCGGUAAUUCCAGCUCCAAUAGCGUAUAUUAAAGUUGUUGCAGUUAAAAAGCUCGUAGUUGAACCUUGGGCCUGGCUGGCCGGUCCGCCUCACCGCGAGUACUGGUCCGGCUGGGCCUUUCCUUCUGGGGAACCUCAUGGCCUUCACUGGCUGUGGGGGGAACCAGGACUUUUACUGUGAAAAAAUUAGAGUGUUCAAAGCAGGCCUUUGCUCGAAUACAUUAGCAUGGAAUAAUAGAAUAGGACGUGUGGUUCUAUUUUGUUGGUUUCUAGGACCGCCGUAAUGAUUAAUAGGGAUAGUCGGGGGCGUCAGUAUUCAGCUGUCAGAGGUGAAAUUCUUGGAUUUGCUGAAGACUAACUACUGCGAAAGCAUUCGCCAAGGAUGUUUUCAUUAAUCAGGGAACGAAAGUUAGGGGAUCGAAGACGAUCAGAUACCGUCGUAGUCUUAACCAUAAACUAUGCCGACUAGGGAUCGGACGGGAUUCUAUAAUGACCCGUUCGGCACCUUACGAGAAAUCAAAGU